UACGUAGGUGGCGAGCGUUGUCCGGAAUUACUGGGUGUAAAGGGCGCGUAGGCGGGAAUGCAAGUCAGAUGUGAAAUACCAAGGCUUAACUUUGGAACUGCAUCUGAAACUGUAUUUCUUGAGUGUCGGAGAGGAAAGCGGAAUUCCCCGUGUAGCGGUGAAAUGCGUAGAUAUGGGGAGGAACACCGGUGGCGAAGGCGGCUUUCUGGACGAUAACUGACGCUGAGGCGCGAAAGCGUGGGUAGCAAAC
rnacentral:rRNA from 1 species